rnacentral:rRNA from 1 species
AAACUUGAGAGUUUGAUCAUGGCUCAGAAUGAACGCUGGCGGCAUGCCUAACACAUGCAAGUCGAACGAGACCUUCGGGUCUAGUGGCGCACGGGUGCGUAACGCGUGGGAAUCUGCCCUUGGGUUCGGAAUAACAGUCGAGAAAUUACUGCUAAUACCGGAUAAUGACUUCGGUCCAAAGAUUUAUUGCCCAAGGAUGAGCCCGCGUAAGAUUAGGUAGUUGGUGGGGUAAAGGCCUACCAAGCCGACGAUCUUUAGCUGGUCUGAGAGGAUGAUCAGCCACACUGGGACUGAGACACGGCCCAGA